UACAGAGGGGGCAAGCGUUGUUCGGAAUUACUGGGCGUAAAGGGCGCGUAGGUGGCCUUCUAAGUUGAACGUGAAAUCCCUGGGCUCAACCCAGGAACUGCGUGCAAGACUGGGAGGCUUGAGUCCGGGAGAGGGAUGCGGAAUUCCAGGUGUAGCGGUGAAAUUCGUAGAUAUUGGGAAGAACACCGGUGGCGAAGGCGGCCAUCUGGACCGUAUCUGACGCUGAGGCGCGAAAGCGUGGGGAGCAAACAGG
rnacentral:rRNA from 1 species